rnacentral:rRNA from 1 species
UACGUAGGGGGCAAGCGUUGUCCGGAAUCAUUGGGCGUAAAGAGCGUGUAGGCGGUUCGGUAAGUCGGCUGUGAAAGUCCAGGGCUCAACCCUGGGAUGCCGGUCGAUACUGCCGGACUAGAGUUCGGAAGAGGCGAGUGGAAUUCCCGGUGUAGCGGUGAAAUGCGCAGAUAUCGGGAGGAACACCUAUGGCGAAGGCAGCUCGCUGGGACGUUAUUGACGCUGAGACGCGAAAGCGUGGGGAGCAAACAGG